rnacentral:tRNA from 1 species
GCGGCUGUGGUGGAAUUGGUAGACACGCUAGCUUGAGGUGCUAGUGAGAGAGAUCUUGUGCUGGUUCAAGUCCAGUCAGCCGCA